UACGUAGGGGGCGAGCGUUGUCCGGAAUUAUUGGGCGUAAAGAGCGUGUAGGCGGCCUGAAAGGUCAGCUGUGAAAACUCGAGGCUCAACCUCGAGACGUCGGUUGAAACCAUCUGGCUAGAGUCCGGAAGAGGAGUGUGGAAUUCCCGGUGUAGCGGUGAAAUGCGCAGAUAUCGGGAAGAACACCCGUGGCGAAGGCGGCACUCUGGGACGGUACUGACGCUGAGACGCGAAAGCGUGGGGAGCGAACAGG
rnacentral:rRNA from 1 species